rnacentral:rRNA from 1 species
UACGGAGGGUGCAAGCGUUAUCCGGAUUUACUGGGUUUAAAGGGUGCGUAGGUGGGUAGGUAAGUCAGUGGUGAAAUCUUCGAGCUUAACUCGGAAACUGCCAUUGAUACUAUUUAUCUUGAAUACUUUGGAGGUAAGCGGAAUAUGUCAUGUAGCGGUGAAAUGCUUAGAUAUGACAUAGAACACCAAUUGCGAAGGCAGCUUACUACAGGAUGAUUGACGUUUGAGGCACGAAAGCGUGGGGGAGCAAACAGG